AUGUAUCUCUGACGGACCUGGAGCAGCCGAUGUCUGCUGCUAAGGUUUCCACCACAGAUGCAAGAGAAAGAAGGUUCUCAUGCUCUCUUUGUCUGGUUGUGGCAGGCAAGAUUGAAUGGGGGAUACAGGA
rnacentral:snoRNA from 1 species